AUGGCCAAAUAUUGGUGGAGCAGUUCUAUAAAUAGAAGGUCUCUUCACUGGAUAUCAUGGAAAGGACUCACAGUACCAAAAUGCAAAGGUGGCAUGAGCUUUCUUGACUACCAUCUUUAUAACUUCGCAUUACUGGGAAAGCAUGUCUGGAGGUUUAUGACAAAUCCGAACUCCCUAUGUGCUAGAGUUUUGAAGGGAAGAUAUUUCCCAGACACUGAUUUCAUGCAUGCCAAUAUACCCCAUUUUGCCUCGGCAAUAUGGCGUGCAAUAGUGGCUGGGCGCGAGGCUCUCAGUACAGUCUUAGUCCAGCUGGUGGGUGAUGGAACCACCAUCAACGCUUGGACGGAUAAGUGGAUA
rnacentral:rRNA from 1 species